rnacentral:rRNA from 1 species
CGGCAGGCCUAACACAUGCAAGUCGAACGGUAGCACAGAGGAGCUUGCUCCUUGGGUGACGAGUGGCGGACGGGUGAGUAAUGUCUGGGAAACUGCCCGAUGGAGGGGGAUAACUACUGGAAACGGUAGCUAAUACCGCAUAACGUCGCAAGACCAAAGAGGGGGACCUUCGGGCCUCUUGCCAUCGGAUGUGCCCAGAUGGGAUUAGCUAGUAGGUGGGGUAACGGCUCACCCUAGGCGACGAUCCCUAGCUGGUCUGAGAGGAUGACCAGCCACACUGGAACUGAGACACGGUCCAGACUCCUACGGGAGGCAGCAGUGGGGAAUAUUGCACAAUGGGCGCAAGCCUGAUGCAGCCAUGCCGCGUGUAUGAAGAAGGCCUUCGGGUUGUAAAGUACUUUCAGCGAGGAGGAAGGCGUUGUGGUUAAUAACCGCAACGAUUGACGUUACUCGCAGAAGAAGCACCGGCUAACUCCGUGCCAGCAGCCGCGGUAAUACGGAGGGUGCAAGCGUUAAUCGGAAUUACUGGGCGUAAAGCGCACGCAGGCGGUCUGUCAAGUCGGAUGUGAAAUCCCCGGGCUCAACCUGGGAACUGCAUCCGAAACUGGCAGGCUAGAGUCUUGUAGAGGGGGGUAGAAUUCCAGGUGUAGCGGUGAAAUGCGUAGAGAUCUGGAGGAAUACCGGUGGCGAAGGCGGCCCCCUGGA